AUUUGAAAUCUGGCACCUUCGGUGUCCGAGUUGUAAUUUGAAGAAGGUAACUUUGGAGUUGGCUCUUGUCUAUGUUCCUUGGAACAGGACGUCACAGAGGGUGAGAAUCCCGUGCGAUGAGAUGCCCAAUUCUAUGUAAAGUGCUUUCGAAGAGUCGAGUUGUUUGGGAAUGCAGCUCUAAGUGGGUGGUAAAUUCCAUCUAAAGCUAAAUAUUGGCGAGAGACCGAUAGCGAACAAGUACAGUGAUGGAAAGAUGAAAAGAACUUUGAAAAGAGAGUGAAAAAGUACGUGAAAUUGUUGAAAGGGAAGGGCUUGAGAUCAGACUUGGUAUUUUGCGAUCCUUUCCUUCUUGGUUGGGUUCCUCGCAGCUUACUGGGCCAGCAUCGGUUUGGAUGGUAGGAUAAUGACUAAGGAAUGUGGCUCUACUUCGGUGGAGUGUUAUAGCCUUGGUUGAUACUGCCUGUCUAGACCGAGGACUGCGUCUUUGACUAGGAUGUUGGCAUAAUGAUCUUAAGCCACCCGUCUUGAAACACGGAC
rnacentral:rRNA from 1 species